AGCCCGGGGCACCGGGAGCGGGCACGGCGGGGAACGGGAGCGCCGGCACCGGGUUAGGGCGGAGGAACCGGGACCAGCGGGACCGGGAGCGGGCACGGCGGGACUGGGACUGGGACUGGGACUGGGACUGGGACUGGGACAGGGCGGAGGAACCGGGAGCAGCAGAACCGGGAGAGGGGCACGGCGCAGGGAACGGGAACGCCGGCACCGGGUCAGGACGGAAGAACCGGGACUAGGAGCGGGGCAGAGCGGGGAAACGGGAGCGCCGGCACCGGGUCAGCGCGGAGGAACCGGAACCGAGAGCGGGGCAGGGCAGGGGAACCGGAACCGCUGGCACCGGCCCGCCCGGUCCCGGCUCCUCACCUUGGGCGCUGCGGGUGAGGAAGAGCCGGGGACGGGCCCGGAGCGGCCCCGGGGCUGAGCGGCCUUGGCCCGGUCGGAGCUCCAGUGGAGGCCUUGGAGCGGAGCCGGUGCCGCCGAGGCUUGUCCCGGUGCAGGCCCUGGAGCGGAGCCGGUGCGUUCACAGUGUUGGCCUGGCCUGUCCCGGUGCUGGCCCCGGAGUGGGUCCCGGUGCUGGCCGGGCUUGGCCCCGCUGCUGGGCCUGGAGGGGCCCCGGUUCUGGCCCUGGAGUGGAGCCGGUGCUGGUCGGGCUUGGCCCCGCUGCUGGCCCUGGUGGGGUCCCCGAACUGGCCAGGUUUGUCCCCGUCCUGGCCACGUUUGUUCUGGGGAAGUCCCAGGUGGGGUCCUCAGUCUGGGCCAGGUUUGUCCUGGUGGGGUCCCCAGUCCUGGCCAGGUUUGUCCCAGUCCUGGCCAGGUUUGUCCUGGUGGGGUCCCCAGUCCUGGCCAGGCUUGUCCCUGCUGUCCCUGUAGUCACCCCCACAGGUGUGCACCCCUCUCACCCCUCACCUGUGCCCCCCACAGCACCCCCUGACCCCUUCCCACCAUUCCCCCUCCUCCCUGCCCCUGCCCAGGUGCUGCUGCAGGUACAUGGAGGGUCCCCCAGGUUCCCCAUUGGCUCUGAAAUGCUGAAAAAACACCUUCAACUCCAUGAAAGUAAAGCUUUUUCCUUAAAAAAAAGAGGAAAGAAGAAUUCCCAUGUGUUUUAAUCAAACUGAUAAGGGCUCAGUUUGGACAUAUUGGUGCUUAUUUAAUUGAAUGGUAUUAGAAAUUAAUAAUAUUAGAAAUUAA